rnacentral:tRNA from 1 species
GGUGGCUCAGGGGUAGAGUGCUUGCCUUGCAUGCAUGAAGCCCUGGGUUCGAUUCCUCAGCACCA